rnacentral:rRNA from 1 species
CCUACGGGAGGCUGCAGUGAGGAAUAUUGGUCAAUGGACGCUAGUCUGAACCAGCCAAGUAGCGUGAAGGAUGACUGCCCUAUGGGUUGUAAACUUCUUUUAUAUAGGAAUAAAACGCGGCACGUGUGCUUCUUUGCAUGUACCUUAUGAAUAAGGAUCGGCUAACUCCGUGCCAGCAGCCGCGGUAAUACGGAGGAUCCGAGCGUUAUCCGGAUUUAUUGGGUUUAAAGGGAGCGUAGAUGGGUUGUUAAGUCAGUUGUGAAAGUUUGCGGCUCAACCGUAAAAUUGCAGUUGAUACUGGCAGUCUUGAGUACAGUAGAGGUAGGCGGAAUUCGUGGUGUAGCGGUGAAAUGCUUAGAUAUCGCGAAGAACCCCGAUUGCGAAGGCAGCUUGCUAAACUGAGACUGACAUUGAUGCACGAAAGUGUGGGUAUCGAACAGGAUUAGAUACCCUGGUAGUC